AGAACUUUGAAGAGAGAGUUCAAGAGUACGUGAAACCGUUCAGGGGUAAACGGAAAAGACUUUAAACACCGAAAGGGGAGAUUCACGCCCUCGCGCACGAGCCGGCUCCCCCGUGGUCAGAUGGUACCGUCCGCCCGCACGGCGCAAGUCGUUGCGGGGUCGUUUCGGUGAUCACUCGGCCUCGGGGGGGUUAUGCCGGCCGCGGAGGGCCGCACUUCUCCUUCAGUAGGACGUCGCGACCCGUUGGACGGUGGUCGACGGCCCCGGCGGUAGCCCGGGACGCGGGAAAGCUCUGCCUACCGCGCUCCCGGACCCCGGGUCGCCCGACCGAUCGUCCGACGGUAUGAAAUGCAGGUGUCGGACCGCCACCGUUAAUCGGGCGUCUGGAUCGGCCGCAAGCUUGAGCACGCCGGGAUGACGGUACUUGUGCCCGGCUCUUUGGCGUGCCAAACUGUUGGCGGCCGAGUCCUCGGACGGGUCUUGUAACACCGGUCAGCGAUGUCUGUUUAAGGUACUUAUCCGACCCGUCUUG
rnacentral:rRNA from 1 species